rnacentral:rRNA from 1 species
UUGGAGGGCAAGUCUGGUGCCAGCAGCCGCGGUAAUUCCAGCUCCAAUAGCGUAUAUUAAAGUUGUUGCAGUUAAAAAGCUCGUAGUUGAAUUUCGGGGUCAGUAGGUUGGUCAUGCCACCGGUAUGUACUGGUCUCACUGAUUCCUCCUUCCUGAUGAGCCGUAAUGCCAUUAAUUUGGUGUUGCGAGGAAUCUGGACUGUUACUUUGAAAAAAUUAGAGUGUUUAAAGCAGGCUAACGCUUGAAUACAUUAGCAUGGAAUAAUGAAAUAGGACGUUCGAUCUUAUUUUGUUGGUUUCUAAGAUUGACGUAAUGAUUAAUAGGGAUAGUUGGGGGCAUUAGUAUUCAAUUGUCAGAGGUGAAAUUCUUGGAUUUAUUGAAGACUAACUACUGCGAAAGCAUUUGCCAAGGAUGUUUUCAUUAAUCAAGAACGAAAGUUAGGGGAUCGAAGACGAUCAGAUACCGUCGUAGUCUUAACCAUAAACUAUGCCGACUAGGGAUCGGAUGAUGUUAAUUUUUUAAUGACUCAUUCGGCGCCUUACGGGAAAC